rnacentral:rRNA from 1 species
GAUGAACGCUGGCGGCGUGCCUAAUACAUGCAAGUCGAGCGAACAGACGAGGAGCUUGCUCCUCUGACGUUAGCGGCGGACGGGUGAGUAACACGUGGAUAACCUACCUAUAAGACUGGGAUAACUUCGGGAAACCGGAGCUAAUACCGGAUAAUAUAUUGAACCGCAUGGUUCAAUAGUGAAAGACGGUUUUGCUGUCACUUGUAGAUGGAUCCGCGCCGCAUUAGCUAGUUGGUAAGGUAACGGCUUACCAAGGCGACGAUGCGUAGCCGACCUGAGAGGGUGAUCGGCCACACUGGAACUGAGACACGGUCCAGACUCCUACGGGAGGCAGCAGUAGGGAAUCUUCCGCAAAGGGCGAAAGCCUGACGGAGCAACGCCGCGUGAGUGAUGAAGGUCUUCGGAUCGUAAAACUCUGUUAUUAGGGAAGAACAAAUGUGUAAGUAACUAUGCACGUCUUGACGGUACCUAAUCAGAAAGCCACGGCUAACUACGUG